GAUGAACGCUAGCGGCAGGCCUAAUACAUGCAAGUCGGACGGGAUUUGGGAGCUUGCUCCUAAUGAGAGUGGCGCACGGGUGCGUAACACGAAUGUAACCUACCUUAGUCAGGGGGAUAGCCUCUCGAAAGAGAGAUUAAGACCGCAUAACAUUAUUGAGUGGAUUCAUUUAAUAAUCAAAUAUUUAUAGGACUAAGAUGGGCAUGCGGAACAUUAUCUAGUUGGUAGGGUAACGGCCUACCAAGGCUACGAUGUUUAGGGGAUCUGAGAGGAGGGCCACCCACACGAGUACAGAGACACGGACCAGACUCCUACGGGAGGCAGCAGUAAGGAAUAUUGGUCAAUGGGCGGAAGCCUGAACCAGCCAUGCCGCGUGCAGGAAGACGGCCCUACGGGUUGUAAACUGCUUUUAUACGGGAAUAAACCUACUUACGUGUAAGUAGCUGAAUGUACUGUAAGAAUAAGGAUCGGCUAACUCCGUGCCAGCCGCCGCGGUAA
rnacentral:rRNA from 1 species